rnacentral:rRNA from 1 species
GAUGAACGCUGGCGGCGUGCCUAAUACAUGCAAGUCGAGCGAACGGACGAGAAGCUUGCUUCUCUGAUGUUAGCGGCGGACGGGUGAGUAGCACGUGGAUAACCUACCUAUAAGACUGGGAUAACUUCGGGAAACCGGAGCUAAUACCGGAUGAUAUUUUGAACCGCAUGGUUCAAAAGUGAAGGACGGUCUUGCUGUCACUUAUAGAUGGAUCCGCGCUGCAUUAGCUAGUUGGUAAGGUAACGGCUUACCAAGGCAACGAUGCAUAGCCGACCUGAGAGGGUGAUCGGCCACACUGGAACUGAGACACGGUCCAGACUCCUACGGGAGGCAGCAGUAGGGAAUCUUCCGCAAUGGGCGAAAGCCUGACGGAGCAACGCCGCGUGAGUGAUGAAGGUCUUCGGAUCGUAAAACUCUGUUAUUAGGGAAGAACAUAUGUGUAAGUAACUGUGCACAUCUUGACGGUACCUAAUCAGAAAGCCACGGCUAACUACGUG